AAACGCGUAGUGCGCACGCACUCCCACACGUCCCUGUUUCAUCAUCAGCUGAGCUCUUUCUCCUCCACUCACAGCUCUUCUCCCCUUCCUCUCUUACCCCCUCCCCUCUCUCUCUCUCUCUUUGCUCUUGCUUCUUUUUCUAUCCAUCGCUCUCCUCCUCCUCCUCUCUCCCUGGGUCCCGGCCACAUGCGAAAGGGUAGACUAGGACGCUGCAGCUCUGAAAAAAAAGAGGGGAAAAACGCUCUGCUGCUAUUUCUACAGGCAGGCCCUCCCCUUUAGCUAGUCUGUGCCAAAAGAGGGAGGGAUUUUUUACUACUCCCAGUCCCAGGAUUUUAACCCUCUGCCUGCUCUCACUUCUCCCUGCAAGAUCUGUUCCUCAAUAUCAUGCAACAAGUGGCUUUGCUUUACUCCUACUUCGACAUUGCUGCGCCAUUUGCAAGGGCAUUUUUCAGAUCCUUGUUUUCACGCGCUUUUAGUUUUAUCACGUUUUUGCCUCGCCUGGGUUGUUGCUAGUAGAGAUAAACUGGACCUGGGAGUUUUGCGCCGUGCCAUAGCGUUGGUGCAAAGGUUUUUUUUUUUUUUUUCCUUCAGCACGUUUCUUGAUUGCUCAACAUGUCAGAUUUUUUUUUCCUGGAUGAAUCUGAGUAUGAAGGCUGCAGUUUGUUUUGUGUGCUGUUCGAUUUCAUGUGUCUCGCGCAUGGAUCUUAAAUUGAAUUCCUUAUUGUUUUCCUGUGCUCUUAUCUGCUUUGCCCUCUACCUUCCUAACCCUUUCCAUCUCUAAACCUGUCCCUCUUUUUUGGUUUUUUUCUGCCCCACCCUCUCUUCCUCACGUUCUCUCUCUCUCGCUCUCUCUCGAUCUCGUGGGCAGUCUCCAGUGAAAGGAGAGCAGGAGGGCGGAGCAGCAGCGGGGCUUUUUCUGGGACAGGUGCCAAUUCCAAACAAAAGGCACAAAAAACAAAAAAAAAAGAAAAAAGAGUGUGAUAGAUCCCAACGACAGAGGGAAAAGUGGUGUAUUUAAAGAACUGAUUUGUAGUAAUUAGAUGUGUGUGCAUGUGUAACUAUUCUUCUCUUGCAGGUUUUUUUUUAUUGCAUGAGUGAAUAGCAGCAGAGAUCUUGAAUUCUCUCUUUCCCCCCUCUCUCGGCUCUCUUGCUCCCGUGAAGGCAUUUGAGUUUCGAGCGGGGAAAAGAAGGAGGGGUGGGUGGAGUUGGGAAGGGGCACAGGGAGGUGGAGCCUUGUCUCCUCUCCUCCCUGCCGAGUUUUCUGCAUUAUUCAUAUGCCCGGGCCAGCGCUGCGAUCUGACUGGCUGCCUGGCUUAGCAUUCAUCCGACAUUCAGCAGCUCUGUUUGCUAACAUUCCUCAUUCAAAGCCUUGUUAACUGCCAGACGGGAGGAACACGCGACUCCAUGGGAAACCCACAUGGCCUCUCCAUUGUGGCGGCCCUGACAGUCUCAGACAAGGAGCUGGCAGACAGGGGAGAGCGAGAGGAGCUGGUUUGUAAAUAUUAGAAAGCAGUUAGCUCAGGUUGGGGAGGUUACCCAACACUCAGAGAUGGGUUUGGGGUGAAGUGGGCAGAUUAUCGUGGGCAAAUCCCGGGCAGAGGCGCAGACAGACAUUGUAGGAAAGGCGCUGAGGCAGACACGGAGGCUGGUACUUUCUGGGACUCUGAAUGGGUCUGUCGUUGGCGUGCCCGCCUACUUCUUGCAGGGAGUGCAAAGCUGUGUGACUGAAUCCAAGCUCCCUCUCUGCCCUUCUCUACAGAGAGGAUAUGUGGACAUACUGUGUGCAGCCGCGGAUGGGUCCAGCACAGCCGCUUCAUCCAGGAUAGCUCAUUGCUGUGGUGUGGGACAGUUACUUCAAAGUCUCAGUGGAGUCAUUACUUGGGAGUGACUUUAUUUUUCCGUGCCAGACAUUGAUAUCAAGCAUCGAGACGAGGAAACCUGAGAGGAGGCGAGUUGACAGACCGCACAGACCUGCUCAGGGAAGAUGACCUGCCAAGCUCAAGUGACAUGCAGAGGAAGUGUUUUGAGUGUAUUUUGUUUUGUUUUUUAAUUACCACACAUUUCGCAUAUUAAGCCUCUCCUUUAAAUGUAUAAAAAAAAAAAUAAGGAACCUCAUGAUCAGCUGGGGCCUUUCUGCAUGGAUGUCCUCCAUGUGCCUGUGUGGGUUUUUCUGGGUACUUUCCUCCCACAGUGCAUCUUAAGUUGGGUAAAUAGUGAUUAUAAAUGUGUCUGUGGAUGUGAUUGUGAGAUGUUGUUGUGUGUCUGCGUGUGUUAAACCUCUGAUAGAUUGGCAGCUGGGUCAGGAUUUAACAAGUUUAGAAAAAAAACAAACGGAUUGAACAAAACAGAAAUAAAUAUAUGUUUCAUUUCUUAAAAUGUAAAACAAGCACUUUUUUGGACAUGCAGUGUUUUAUCUGUGAAUUAAGUAAGUUUAAGUGCUGCUUCAUGAUGAUGUUUUGCUAAGACUACAGAACUGGCUUUAUUUAAAAUUUUAAACAUUUAAUUACGUUACCGUUUUCACAUGACAUUGAAUAUAGCUGCCUACAUUACACACAGUACAAUACACUAACAGUACAAGCACACAGAAGUUCAGCUUUGACCUUUGGAACGAUGACAAAAUCAACUUUAUGAAGAUCCACCUGUUUUUUCUGCCUUUAAUUGGAUGCUAUGGUUUUUAUCGGCACAUUUGUGAUGCUGUUGUUUUAUUACAUUGAAUUGUGGUUGAAUUUUACACACUUAACUCCACCCAUUACAGCUUAUCUGUAGUUAGUUUUUUUUUUUUUUAAAGUAUUGUCCUAAUUUCACAAAGGUCAGUUGUCGUUGAGUUUCUGUUCCCACAGGUCGACUGGGUGCGACUGGAGAGCCGUGCGAGAGUUAAACUGUCCUUUGGGGUGAGGUAGUAGGUUGUAUAGUUUUAGGGUCAUUCCCAAGCUGUCAGAUGACUAUACAACUUACUGUCUUUCCUGAAGCGGCUGUAAUAACAUCAUCUUCAUCAUCGUACCCACAAGAGGAUAAGAAGCAUGACUUUUGAAUUUGGACUCGUUUGUUUGUUUAACCUAAAAUAAUAUGCAGAUUUUUGUGGGAAAUUGUUCUCUUUUUAUUGAUGCCUGUUGUUGUUGUUGUUUUUUAUUAUUUUUUAAAAAAAGGUAAGUUCUGCUAGUCUGAAGUUGUAACCAGUGAAGCUUGUUCUCACAGCGUGUAGUAAAUUUAGCGAAGUAAUGUGAAAUCUAGCCACUUUUACUUUUGCAGCUUUUUCAUGUAACUUUUCCUGCAAGUGCAUCCUUUUAUGUGCAGCAUGUAACAUUUCAACUGACAUUAUCAUGGCAAUCCUCAUUGCAAUAAUAAAUAACAAAGUUGCUUUCAGUUUCAUUUAUGCAGCGAUGCGGCUCGCGCACAAAUCCUCUCCGUACCCGCCUGGGUGCUUUAUGAUGUUCGUACAGGGUGAGGUAGUAGGUUGUGUGGUUUCAGGGUUGUGAUUUUACCCCAUCAGGAGCUAACUAUACAACCUACUGCCUUCCCUGGAGGGCAGCAAUACAUCACAGGAGCGCGCGCAUCUUUGUCAUUUUCCCUGCCUCUGAAAAAUGGGACAGUCUCUUUUACAAAGGCCCACAAAAGACUGCCAUUCGAUCUCAAGGGUUCACGUGUAUGGGUGAGUGGCGCUCACUCACACGACGCAUUUCAGAGAGACAAUCACUUUACACAUUUGUAACUCACACUGGGAAGAUGGCAUAAAAAAGGCAUUUAUUUAAUUUUAUUAGCAUUCAUGUUUUAAUACUGCUUGUACUUUUCCCCCAGUAAUUAAAUAAAGACUGGACAAGAAAUAAUUGCUGAGCAAAUAAUGGCUGAAGUCUGAUCUUUGUGCUGAUAACAACUGUGCAACAGUAGAGUCUCCCUAGAUGGGAUAUUUUCUUCGAAAUGCUGCUUUAGUCUCUAAUCCCUUUAAGGAGCUCAUAAUGCCCUGAAAUUCUAAUCCCCAAAGCCUCUGUGUCUGAGGAACAUGUAUCUUUUUAUCUGUCUAGAAAAGUCUCCUAAAAAGCAUGCAUCAUUUCUCUUUUGUUCUUUAAAACAAAAAUCAAUUGCAUGGGAUUUCUUCCAAUUAAGAUGUUAAUACUGUGCAAGAUUAAAGGCAAGUAAAACUCCAGAAAACAAUUGAAGGUAGAGCAAACAGCCAAGAGUCAUGCUGUUUUAUGAAACCACACGUAGGAGUGCAGCUUUUGCUUUGAGUUUUCAAGCGACAUCCCUGACCAAAGCUGAUUCUGUAGCUCG
ensembl:lncRNA